GUUGAACAACAACCCUCUGAACACGGGAACCCUCACCCGGCCCGGACACGGACAGGAUUGACAGAUUCCGUGGGUGGUGGUGCAUGGCCGUUCUUAGUUGGUGGAGCGAUUUGUCUGGUCAAUUCCGAUAACGAACGAGACUCUGGCAUGCUAACUAGUUACAUGACCCCCGAGCGGUCGGCAUGCAACUUCUUAGAGGGACAAGUGGCGUUCAGCCACCUGAGAUUGAGCAAUAACAAGUCUGUGAUGCCCUUAGAUGUCCGGGGCCGCACGCACGCUACACUGACUGGCUCAGCUUGUGCGUACCCUCUGCUGGCAGGCAUGGGUAACCCGUUGAACCCCAUUCGUGAUGGGGAUUGGGGAUUGCAUUUUUUCCCCUGUGAACGAGGAAUUCCCAGCAAGUGUGGGUCAUAAGCUCACGCUGCUUA
rfam:Picoides pubescens contig54898, whole genome shotgun sequence.